rfam:Theileria equi strain WA chromosome 4 gcontig_1105316255041, whole genome shotgun sequence.
GUGUGUGUAGCGUAAUGGAUAACGCGUCGCCCUCCGGAGGCGAAGACUGUGGGUUCGAGUCCCAUCACACACG